UGGGAUGCCACGUUGAUUUGAUCAAGUUGGGUAUGUCCCAUCUUUAGAGGGUAUGUAGAUCCUAAUUGGGGUGUCCCUUGGGUGCACUUUGGGUUGUGAUUUAGUGGGUGCAAGGGCUCUAAGAGUUAGCGCCUAAUAGGUUUCCUAAAGAAAGUUGUAUAACUUAAGUUAUUAAAAAAUCUAAUGCAAGUAGGACUUGUAUUAUGAGAUUGAAUAGGAUUCAAUCCUUAUGUCAAUUUAAAGAGACCUCCCCUAAGGUCCCUAGGUAUCCAAACCAGUAGCCCACAUGCCACAAAGGAGGCCCCCACACCCUCUCUUCUUCUCCACUUCUCUGCUCCCCUUGGGCGUCCCACAUGUCCUCCCCUUGGGCAUCCCUUUUCUUCAUGCCCAUAAGGGCCUUGGGCAUCCACCUCUUGUGCUGGUUCCUAGUGUUUGGUAGCAGCAUAAUCAAGGAAAGAAAGGCAAGAGAAGAAGAGAAGAAGAAGAUCAAAAAAAGAGAUUAAAGAGUUGAUCGCGAUCCAGACUUCAUUCAGAUUUGCAGGCUGAAUUUUCUUAGAGAAGAAAUUUAAUUUGAAGAGAACUGUUCCAGACUGAUCCCGAGU
rnacentral:lncRNA from 1 species